GACGAACGCUGGCGGCGUGCCUAAUACAUGCAAGUCGAACGCUGAAGGAGGAGCUUGCUUCUCUGGAUGAGUUGCGAACGGGUGAGUAACGCGUAGGUAACCUGCCUGGUAGCGGGGGAUAACUAUUGGAAACGAUAGCUAAUACCGCAUAAUAUUGACUAUUGCAUGAUAGUCAGUUGAAAGGUGCAACUGCACCACUACCAGAUGGACCUGCGUUGUAUUAGCUAGUUGGUGGGGUAACGGCUCACCAAGGCGACGAUACAUAGCCGACCUGAGAGGGUGAUAGGCCCAACUGGGACUGAGACACGGCCCAGACUCCUACGGGAGGCAGCAGUAGGGAAUCUUCGGCAAUGGACGGAAGUCUGACCGAGCAACGCCGCGUGAGUGAAGAAGGUUUUCGGAUCGUAAAGCUCUGUUGUAAGAGAAGAACGAGUGUGAGAGUGGAAAGCUCACACUGUGACGGUAUCUUACCAGAAAGGGACGGCUAACUACGUG
rnacentral:rRNA from 1 species